rnacentral:rRNA from 1 species
UACGAGGGGGGCAAAUGUUGUUCGGAAUCACUGGGCGUAAAGGGAGCGUAGGCGGGUUCUUAAGUAAGGUGUUUAAUCCCGGGGCCCAACCCCGGACCGGCACUUUAAACUGGGAAUUUUGAAUAGUGGAGAGGUCAGUGGAAUUGGGGGUGUAGCGGUGGAAUGCGUAGAGAUCCCCAAGAACAUCAGUUGCGAAGGCGGCUGACUGGACACAUAUUGACGCUGAGGCUCGAAAGCAUGGGGAGCAAACAGG